rnacentral:rRNA from 1 species
CUCCGGUGGAUCCUGCCGGACCCGACUGCUAUCAGAGUGGGACUAAGCCAUGCGAGUCAACAUAGCAAUAUGUGGCAUACGGCUCAGUAACACGUAGUCAACAUGCCCAGGGGACGUGGAUAACCUCGGGAAACUGAGGAUAAACCGCGAUAGGUCAUCACUUCUGGAAUGGGUAAUGACUUAAAUCUAUAUGGCCCCUGGAUUGGACUGCGGCCGAUCAGGCUGUUGGUGAGGUAAUGGCCCACCAAACCUGUAACCGGUACGGGCUCUGAGAGGAGGAGCCCGGAGAUGGGCACUGAGACAAGGGCCCAGGCCCUAUGGGGCGCAGCAGGCGCGAAACCUCUGCAAUAGGCGAAAGCUUGACAGGGUUACUCUGAGUGAUUUCCGUUAAGGAGAUCUUUUGGCACCUCUAAAAAUGGUGCAGAAUAAGGGGUGGGCAAGUCUGGUGUCAGCCGCCGCGGUAAUACCAGCACCCCGAGUGGUCGGGACGUUUAUUGGGCCUAAAGCAUCCGUAGCCGGUUCUACAAGUCUUCCGUUAAAUCCACCUGCUUAACAGAUGGGCUGCGGAAGAUACUAUAGAGCUAGGAGGCGGGAGAGGCAAGCGGUACUCGAUGGGUAGGGGUAAAAUCCGUUGAUCCAUUGAAGACCACCAGUGGCGAAGGCGGCUUGCCAGAACGCGCUCGACGGUGAGGGAUGAAAGCUGGGGGAGCAAACCGGAUUAGAUACCCGGGUAGUCCCAGCUGUAAACGAUGCAGACUCGGUGAUGAGUUGGCUUAUUGCUAACUCAGUGCCGCAGGGAAGCCGUUAAGUUUGCCGCCUGGGGAGUACGGUCGCAAGACUGAAACUUAAAGGAAUUGGCGGGGGAGCA